rnacentral:rRNA from 1 species
CAUGUCUUUUUGAUUAUAAUUUAAGGUUUAAUCUGCUCAAUGAGGAUUUAAAUUGCCGCGGUAUUUUGACCGUGCAAAGGUAGCAUAAUAAUUAGUUUUUUUAUUGAAAGCUGGAAUGAAUGAUUGGACGAGAAAAUUACUGUCUCUUUAUGAUUUAAUUUUAAAUUUAACUUUUGAGUAAAAAGGCUCAAAUUUGACUUAAAGACGAGAAGACCCUAUAGAGUUUAAUAUUUCUUGAUUUAUCAUAAUUUUAGUAUUUAUUUUUGUUAAGUUAAGUUUUAUUUGGUUGGGGUGACUAGAAGAUUGAUAAAACUCUUCUUUAUUUUUAUCAAUGAUUUUUGAAUGGAUAAUCUGGUGUUUACCAAAUUUAAUAAAAAUUACCUUAGGGAUAACAGCGUAAUUUUCUUUUAGAGUUCUUAUUGGAAGGGAAGUUUGCGACCUCGAUGUUGGAUUAAAAUUUAUUUCUGGCGCAGAAGCUUGAAUAUUGAGUCUGUUCGACUUUUAAAAUUUUACAUGAUCUGAGU